rnacentral:rRNA from 1 species
AUGCCGACCCCAUCUGACCUUUCAUUGAAUUCACUCCAAGGCCGGUGGGAUGUGAUCAAAACACAUUGUGGCUGUUGGAGUGGUUUCUUGGAGAAAGUUAGGAACGCACCUCCAAGUGAUUGCACAAUUGACGACUAUGAUUGCAUUGUCUGUGAAAGAUUCAAGCAAAUUGCGGUUUCCAAAUGCAAACCAUUUUUGCUCCAACAUUGUUGGAACUUGCUUCCAGAAAAUGAGAAAUGGAGGUUGAGGGAUCAAGAAGCUCUACCAAAGAAAGGUGCACCCGUUAACUUGGAAGAAGAUGAUGCAUGA